AAGCCUAAAAAUGAAUCCUAGAUCUUCAUUUCUUUUUUCACUUCAGGACUAUAUAUUCAGAAAAGAUGAAAAGACUAUGUUGUUUAGAAGGUCUUUGGUUCUGUCCAGUAUCUGCAUGAUGGUAUCAGAAUGACAGCUCAGACACUUAUCUGGAUAAGGCAAACCCAUGUCAGAGCACAACAUCAUAAAAACACAUGCGGCUUGAAGAUAAAGAAAGAUCAUUGUAUUAUGGUGACUGCUAGCAGAGGUAGUUUUCGGGGAUCAAAGUUGGCAAGUACCUCAACCCCUGUACUAUCCCUCCAAUCCUGCAUUCAGAAGAGGAUACUGCAUUCAUAAGCCGUAUCAUAAAGGGCACGGACGUCUGACUCCCGAGUUAUCUUCACAAUCAAGUAUUAACUUCUUAAACUGUUUGUUACAAGUUAUGAGCAUUAUCCAAUAAACAGAAAUCUCGGAAUCUCAGCAUCUGUUUCCUGGGGAUCUCAACCUGAGUCAGUUUGUACUGGGAGUGGUGAUGGGAAGCAGAGCAUGAAAUGGAAUUUUGGAACUAGACCAACCAGCUUGCCAUGAGAAUUUUAUCACUGCUGGGCCCAGGUCUCUGAGGUGUAUGUUAGUGCAGUCCAAUGGUGGAGUCGAAGAGAUGCCCAGAGACAAUGAAGACAAUGUUCAUGAUAAUGUUCAUGAAAACAAUGUUCACGAAGACAGUGUUCAUGAGAAAUGGACUAGUUCCUGAUGUUCCAUUUGCUCUCAACAGAACGAACAUCUCCGAAUGCAGCAGUUAUGUGUACCUACAUCAAGAACUCAACAUGACGAAUGACCUGGCACCUGAGCUAUGCAGGCAGAAGAAAGUGGUGUGGAACACCUUCAAGAGCAUUGAAGAAAUAACUAAGAGGAUGAAGAACCUCCAGUUCUAGUAUUCAAGGCUUACUCCUGGCUCUGUGCUCAGGGAUCACGCCUCAGGGGGUGAU